CUCCAUGAUGAGCUCCUCUGUUCUGACC
rnacentral:piRNA from 1 species